CCUACGGGUGGCAGCAGUGGGGAAUAUUGCGCAAUGGGCGAAAGCCUGGCGCAGCGACGCCGCGUGCGGGAUGAAGGUCUUCGGAUCGUAAACCUCUGUCAGCAGGGAAGAACGGUCACUGUGCUAAUCAGCAGUGAAUUGACGGUACCUGCAAAGGAAGCACCGGCUAACUCCGUGCCAGCAGCCGCGGUAAUACGGAGGGUGCGGGCGUUAAUCGGAAUUACUGGGCUUAAAGCGCUCGUAGGCGGUAUGUCAAGUCAAGGGUGAAAGCCCCGCGCUCAACGUGGGAACUGCCUUUGAAACUGGCAAACUGGAGUGUGUGAGAGGAUAGUGGAAUUCCAGGUGUAGGAGUGAAAUCCUUAGAUAUCUGGAGGAACAUCAGUGGCGAAGGCGACUAUCUGGCACAUAACUGACGCUGAGGAGCGAAAGCGUGGGUAGCAAACAGGAUUAGAUACCCCUGUAGUC
rnacentral:rRNA from 1 species